rnacentral:rRNA from 1 species
ACGCACGCUGGCGGCGUGCUUAACACAUGCCAGUCGAACGGUGAAGCGCCUUCCUUUUUGGUGGGUGUGGAUGAGUGGCGAACGGGUGAGUAACACGUGAGUAACCUGCCCCCUUCUUCUGGAUAACCGCAUGAAAGUGUGGCUAAUACGGGAUAUUCUGGGUCUGUCGCAUGAUGGGUCUGGGAAAGAUAUUGUUUCGGUGGGGGAUGGGCUCGCGGCCUAUCAGCUUGUUGGUGGGGUGAUGGCCUACCAAGGCGGUGACGGGUAGCCGGCCUGAGAGGGUGGACGGUCACACUGGGACUGAGACACGGCCCAGACUCCUACGGGAGGCAGCAGUGGGGAAUAUGGCACAAUGGGCGCAAGCCUGAUGCAGCGACGCCGCGUGAGGGAUGGAGGCCUUCGGGUUGUGAACCUCUUUCGCCAGUGAAGCAGGCCUGCCUCGUUUGUGGGUGGGUUGACGGUAGCCGGAUAAGAAGCGCCGGCUAACUACGUG